UAGAAACAUUUUAUUUGAGUCUCGAACAUCAAUCUCAACGCACAAUUUACUAUUGAAUAGAGGCUUUGUAAUGAAGCGCUGAGGCUCUGCUGCCAGCGAGGUUAGAGGAAAUAAUUUAAUGACAUUUCAGAAACAGAUCUGACGUCUGUUGGUUCCACUUGUUAUUUAAAGUUAAUCCCAAUAUGAUUUCAAAGACUUUAAAAGUAAACUGAAGGAUUGUCUGAAAAAAAUCAUGCUGAAAUCAUAUGUGUGUUAAUCGAUUAGUUGAUAUGCAGAAAAUAAAUGCACCAAAAUUUUGCCAACUUUAAAGCAAAAAUAUUAAAUAUUUUUUGGUUCCUGCUUCUCCAGUGUGAGGAUCUGCUUCUCGUCUUGGUUUAAUAUCAUUAAAAUGUUUAUAUCUCUGGGUUUUAAGUCACUCUGGGAAGUUGAGCUGGAGAUUUCUCAUUAUUUGCAGACUUUUUAUUGACUAAACAAUCACAUGAUUGAUCCCCAAAACAGAAGAUAGAUCCUGGCAAUAUCAAAACUAUAAUUAAUACCUCACAAUUUUAUGCCUCCGAACACCAGAUAAGUUUCUCUUACAGUUUACAUCCAUGUGUGUGAAAAUAUGGAUGUUUCACACACAUCUUCCCCCCGACAGCACAGAAGAUCUACACAAUCAGAUUAGUGUCACCAAUUCAGUAUCUGACCAAAUGUCUCCUCUUCUGUUCCUGAGACAUGACGCUGAGUAAUGGCCAGAAAAGUGUUUUUACAAAACAUAAAGAUGUCAUAGUGAAGCUUUGGGUUUAAAAUGCCAUCACUUCAUCAUUUUAUCCUCAUAAUUAGCAUGAUAAUACUUGUGUUAUGGCCAGAAAUGUUUUGUGAGGUCACAGUGACCCUGACCUCUGACCACCAAAGCUGAAUCAAAGUCAUUGUUGAGUCCAAGUGGACGUUUGUGCUAAAUUUGAAAAAAUACCCUCAAGGUUUCUUGAGAUAUGGCAUUCAGGAGAAUUGGACGGACAAUCUGAAAACAAAAUGCCUACAGCUAUCGCCGGUGUGGAGGAACUCAAAACUUUUCAAACAUGUAGUCUUCAUUAGAGU